GGCAGCGUAUAUGACGUGUGGGUUGGUACAUAUGCUGUUUAUCUAGUGGCAGCGUAUAUGACGUGUGGGUUGCCGUUUAUCUAGUGGCAGCGUAUAUGACGUGUGGGUUGGUACAUAUGCUGUUUAUCUAGUGGCAGUGUAUGUGACGUGUGGGUUGGUACAUGUGCUGUUUAUCUA